UGACAGCCCCGUACACAAAAAUGCACAUAUUGUGAGCUUGAUGAGUAGGGCGGGACACGUGGUAUCCUGUCUGAAUAUGGGGGGACCAUCCUCCAAGGCUAAAUACUCCUGACUGACCGAUAGUGAACCAGUACCGUGAGGGAAAGGCGAAAAGAACCCCGGCGAGGGGAGUGAAAAAGAACCUGAAACCGUGUACGUACAAGCAGUGGGAGCACGCUUAGGCGUGUGACUGCGUACCUUUUGUAUAAUGGGUCAGCGACUUAUAUUCUGUAGCAAGGUUAACCGAAUAGGGGAGCCGAAGGGAAACCGAGUCUUAACUGGGCGUUAAGUUGCAGGGUAUAGACCCGAAACCCGGUGAUCUAGCCAUGGGCAGGUUGAAGGUUGGGUAACACUAACUGGAGGACCGAACCGACUAAUGUUGAAAAAUUAGCGGAUGACUUGUGGCUGGGGGUGAAAGGCCAAUCAAACCGGGAGAUAGCUGGUUCUCCCCGAAAGCUAUUUAGGUAGCGCCUCGUGAAUUCAUCUCCGGGGGUAGAGCACUGUUUCGGCAAGGGGGUCAUCCCGACUUACCAACC
rnacentral:rRNA from 1 species